rnacentral:misc_RNA from 1 species
CUUAAUGAGAUUCUUAUUGAAGCCAAUGGCUCUCACUAUAGCUCACCAAAAUCACAAACAAUACAACCACAAGAAACUACAAAAAUACCAAGCAACUCACUAGGUUUCACUUCCCUCUCCCAAGGCAAUGCUAACGAGAAAACACCAACACAGAGCAACUCACUGUGUUGUACUUCCCUCCCCAAAGGCAAUGCUGGCGAGAAAUAACAAAGACGAAACAAUAAGUGAAUCUUUACACAAACAGCUUAUAUGGCUGCAAUACAAUGACUGUUCAAACUUCAACAAACUUUCAAGGGAAUUCUAAAAUGGACACAGGGCUCAAGCCCCCUAUUCAAGAUGACCCAAAAAGCAGAAAAUACAACAAUAGAAAAAUAAAUAGCAACACCAAGUUCAAUAGCACCUAUCAGAAGGCUCCAAAACCCAAAGCACACACUACCACACCACUUGGAUAUAACCCAACUCCUCCCUAGACUACCAAAACACACAAAAAAUAUGAAAAACCACAGACCCAUAGAGCACAAUGACAUACCUCUAGCAAAACAACUUCUACAAGGCGCCAAAUCACAACAAAAUAGCAGACAGCUCAUAGCCAAACAUAUCUUUAAGCCAAGUUAUAAGAAAAACAGAACCAAACAGAAUACCUUAUCCAAAACAAAACCCAACAGGUGCACUGAAAACCAAAUCUCAUUAAACAACCUCUGUAAGUCACCAUAUUGAACCAAAGAUGAAACCAAGGCACCAAAGGAAGAAGCCAGAGCAUAACCAGUCGCCAGACACACCCUCACUCACAGGCACGUGAAUUGGCGCUAAAUCCUUGAUAUGGCACAUGAAUGCCACUUGCCAAGAGUCCGGUCAUCAAACUUUAUGGGUAGGUCAAUCGGCAACCAAUCAACACUCCUAAGGGGGCGGGAGAAAGAGAAGUCACUCUAGAAUAGUGACCUAGAGUGGCAAUGCAUGGGUAACAAAGAAAUAGGGAAAAUUUUAAAACCUAAAUUUCCAAAUUUUAUCUAAGCUCUGAUAUCAUGGUAAAAAUUUAAGAAUUAGAAGAAUUAAAAAAGGGGGGGAGACCGAGGGAAGAGAACCACAAAGACUACAUCUUUAUAUCUUUUCUUCAACAAACAUCUCUAAAAUCACUCUAACUAAUUUCUAAAAUUAUGCUACCACCAUCCGGCCAUUACACCCAAGCAUUGCUAUCGCCAAUCCACCGGCAACAUCCAAGCAACCCUUUCGAUGCCUUUCCGAUCGCCUGCAACUUCUCGAAAAAAGAAGAUCUGACUGGGUCAUAUCUUGACUCGAAUCAGACCUGCAAGUUUUUCAGAUUUCUCUGGCAUCUAACCCCAAGCCCUUCUCCGAUCGCCCAUCUACGCAUACCUAUUCUCAGAAGUACCGUCCGCUACCCCUACCGCCAAUUCCUUCUAGGUAGGGCCUUCAAAUUUGCAUUCACACCCAAACUAGAAGGUGAACUCAUGCAGCUGUGAUGAGCCUCCCUGCACCAGAUCUACAUUAUUCUCUUUGGCACAUCAUUGACCCACGUCAGCUAACACAUCAUUGCCACAUCACUACUGCCCAGUCAGCAAAAUUCUCAAGGCGCCCUUUGCUAAUUUGGACAUGCUAGUUCUGUUUUUAAUGUCCAUUUUCGAUGACAGUGACUCCUAAAUUUGCUGAAAUUUUAGUUUUCUUCAAUAAGGUCUGCUUCUUUAAAUUGAAAUCAUAAUUUGGGUUUGAUAAUGGACAACAGAAUGAAUUUAAUGAUUCAUCGGUACAACUAGAUGAGUUGUGGCAUAUGAUUCAAGGAAUACAAACUGAGAUUGAUAGAUAUUAUAAACAGCCUGAUGAAAUAUCUUAUUUGAUAGA